GGAACCUGGAGAACCAGGGAGUAGAAUCAGUAGCUCUCUGAGGGACUUUACAUAAAGCUUACAUAUGAUUUUGUCGAAUUGUCACUACUUAGCGAUGCCUGAGAAGUGCCUGAUUAGACCUGUUGAAUGUGGAGCAUACAGAUGGAGUCACUGGUUAAAGCUGGAGAGUGGAUGCAGAGAGAACGGACAUCUAUUUCAGAUGUGGCCACCGAAGAGCCAACCUCUGCCAGGCAGCUGCGUCUUGUGAAACGGCAAAAGAAAAGGCUGAUUUAACUAAGCAGCAAGACGCCAACACCUUCCUCCUCAGUACGUCCAAGUUUCCUUCGCUCUGAGCCACAAACGCUCCGCUUCUCUCUUCAUUCCCGCCCACCCCACCCCCCACCCCCUCGGGUUUCCGAGUCAUCAGGGAACGCGAGUGGGUGAAAGGACUCGGUGCUGCUGCAUCCCGAGCCACCGCCUCCUCCUGCGCCUCCUCUGAGCCGCCUCGGGUUCAGCACUGGACAGCUCCCGCCCCAGCCCAACAAAUGGCAGUCGGCUGAUUGACACAGGAGUCGACCAAACAGAGAACAAGACGGCUUGAAGCCGCCCUUCAAGGGUUUGGUUGAGGCCAAGCUGCCUCUUUAAACCGGCUUUUCUCCAGAGCAGGGGAGACAGGAGUGUGGUUUGUGGCCAAACCUAAGGGCUCCAGUUAACCAGCUUCCUGGUCCUAUAAACUCCACAGAGACUAACGUCCUGAAAGAAAUCUUUGCUCUUCGGGACUCGGUCCUGCGCUGGCGGUGCGGGUCUGUGUGCGCGCACUCCGCGCCUCGCGGCGAAGCGAACGAGGAGGAGCCAGAGCCGGGAGGCGGGAACGACCUGCCACGGGUGAGAUGAUGGAGCAGCGUCUUUGGCGGCCGCGGCGCCAGCAGCAGCAGCAGCAGCAGCAGCAGCAGCAGCAGCAGCUCUUGAACACACCUCAAUGAGAGCGACAGUGGAAGCUGCUGAGCAGAAAGACGUAAGCAGGCUAACUAUAGCCGCCGGGAGAGAGAGGGGAUGUAACCUGUUCUGCUCAAGGCUGUGAGGUGCGUAAUCCCGAGCCGACCCAUUAUGGAGCGGGUGCAGCCAGCGUUGCCACAGGUGAUUUGAUUUCCUGUGACGGUAGCUUAGCCAGCCGGGACAAUUCCAAAACAUUCUUAUUUUAAAGUCCUUUUCGGCCACCUGGAGAAGGGGGACGACUCCUAGGAAAAGUCUUACUGUUGAUAAAUUGACGAC
rnacentral:lncRNA from 1 species